AUGGACUGCCUCCUCUCCUCUGC
rnacentral:siRNA from 1 species